rnacentral:rRNA from 1 species
AGCGAACGUUAGCGGCGGGCCUAACACAUGCAAGUCGUACGAGAACGCUCCUUCGGGAGUUAUUAAAGUGGCGCACGGGUGAGGAACGCGUAGGUAAUCUACCCUCAGGCGGGGGACAACACUCCGAAAGGAAUGCUAAUACCGCGUAAGACCACACUUACUAAGGUGAGAGUGGUAAAAGAUGGCCUCUUCUUGAAAGCUAUCACCAGAGGAUGAGCCUGCGUCCCAUCAGCUUGUUGGUAAGGUAACGGCUUACCAAGGCGAAGACGGGUAGCUGGUCUGAGAGGAUGAUCAGCCACACUGGCACUGGAACACGGGCCAGACUCCUACGGGAGGCAGCAGUGAGGAAUAUUGGGCAAUGGGCGCAAGCCUGACCCAGCCACGCCGCGUGUGUGAUGAAGGCCUUCGGGUCGUAAAGCACUGUGGGGAGGGACGAAAAAUCUCCGUUCGAAUAGGGCGGAGGCUUGACGGUACCUCCUUAGCAAGCACCGGCUAACUCUGUG